UCAAAAUAGUCAAUUCGCUUGCAAACCUAACCAAUCAGCAUCUUUUGCAAUAAUUAACCACAGCAAAGAAGGAUAGUUUAGCACAAAAAUGUAAAAAAUUAGAAGACAAAGAUGACAGGUUCCCACAAAUAACAAGUGCAAAAACCAGGGUCAAGUAUUCCUUAAUCCGACAGCAAAAUUCUCUGACUCCGUCACUGCAUUUUAAAUCUCUAAUGAACACAAUGCAUUUUAAAUUAACAAAUCAAUCAUACCUCCAUCCACCUACCUAAAAUGCCUUUUGCUUACUUCUUGCUCUUUUUCCCUUCAUUAAAUGCCAAUUAGCAGAUUAAUAUCUUUAGCACUAGCAAAAACCUAUAAUAUGUGUAAAUCAAAAGAAAAAAUGAGCAAUUUUCAAGGAAAUUUAUUAUUUUUAAAUGGAUAGACCCUAGAAAUUCAAGUACCCAAAUAGAAAAUAAAGGGAACAUCUAUUUGGAUUUAUUGACGGCACAAAUCAGUAUGUUAAGCAAACUAUUGAAGAAAAUGGAAACGUAACAGACCUUCUCUUCUUCUUUUUUCCUUCUUUAACAACCUCUUUUCUUCUGUCUUGGCAUCCUCCAGUGGCAAGUGUGGUGGCGGCGGACUCUUCCUUCUUGGAACCCUCCAGUGGCUGCGGUGGUUGGCGAAACUGGGGAGUAUAAAUCAACGCUUCUCUCCAUCUAUUUCUAACUAAAAUCCAUAGGUUUGUUUAAGCAUUAGGCGGAUUGUGACUGAUAUGGCCAGAUUUUUCUCACGAGGCCCCAAAAAAAUUGAGGCCCUAGGCGAUGGCCUUGUUGGCCUUAUGACAGGGCCGGCCCUGCUCUUUCACCACAGACGACAGCACUGGAUUGUUGUAGUCUUGUGGACUUCGUCGGCGCUAGAAAGUAGAAAGGCGGUGGGCGACGAUGCUAUUGAUUUGAAAUCAGAGAAAAGAGAUACACAGUGAGAGAGUUAAGGAGUUAGCGUUAAGGGGAGAAGAUCAACUGUUAAGGGGAAUGAUAGAUAUUUUUC
rnacentral:lncRNA from 1 species